rnacentral:ncRNA from 2 species
UGAUAACUUCAGGGCAGGGUGAAAUUCCCUACCGGCGGUAUUCUUUAAUUUAGAUAUUAAAGAGAGCCCGCGAGCGCUUUAUAUGAUUCUUCAUAUGAAGGUCUGCAGAUAUGGUUAGAAGCCAUAGCCGACGGUUAGAGUCCGGACAAAAGAAGUAAUAC